rnacentral:rRNA from 1 species
CCUACGGGGGGCAGCAGUGAGGAAUAUUGGUCAAUGGACGAGAGUCUGAACCAGCCAAGUAGCGUGAAGGAUGACUGCCCUAUGGGUUGUAAACUUCUUUUAUAAAGGAAUACAACGAGGCACGUGUGCCUUUUUGCAUGUACUUUAUGAAUAAGGAUCGGCUAACUCCGUGCCAGCAGCCGAGGUAAUACGAGGGAUGCGAGCGUUAUCCGGAUUUCUUGGGUUUAAAGGGUUCGUAGGGGGACUGUUAAGUCAGCGGUAAAAGCCCGGGGCUCAACCCCGGCGAGCCGUUGAAACUGGCUGUCUAGAGAUGUCGAGAGGUAUGCGGAAUGCGCAGUGUAGCGGUGAAAUGCUUAGAUAUUGCGCAGAACUCCGAUUGCGAAGGCAGCAUACCGGCGGCGAUCUGACGCUGAGGCACGAAAGCGUGGGUAUCGAACAGGAUUAGAUACCCCGGUAGUC